CCUACGGGUGACAGCAGUGGGGAAUAUUGGACAAUGGACGAAAGUCUGAUCCAGCGACGCAGCGUGAAGGAAGACGGCUUUCUGGGUGUAAAGCUCUUUUAACAGGGAAGAAAAUCGCGGUACGUGUGUCUUCUUCCACGGACAUCUCCGUGCCAGCAGCCGCGGUAAUACGUAGGGGGCAAGCGUUAUCCGGAUUUACUGGGUGUAAAGGGAGCGUAGACGGCGGGGCAAGUCUGGAGUGAAAUCCCCUGGCUUAACCCUGGAACUGCUUUGGAAACUGCGUGGCUGGAGUGCAGGAGAGGUAAGUGGAAUUCCUAGUGUAGCGGUGAAAUGCGUAGAUAUUAGGAGGAACACCAGUGGCGAAGGCGGCUUACUGGACUGUAACUGACGUUGAGGCUCGAAAGCGUGGGGAGCAAACAGGAUUAGAUACCCGAGUAGUC
rnacentral:rRNA from 1 species